rnacentral:rRNA from 1 species
AAAAAAAAGGNNAGGGUGGCUCAAGUAUCGGAGGAACUGCCUUGAGUUGAUCUGGCUCAGAACGAACUGGGGCGGCGUUGGAUAGACAUGCAAGUCGAACGAUUAAACUUCCUUCNGGGAAGAUAUAAAGUGGCGUACGGGUGCGUAACACGUGAGUAACUUGCCCAAAAGUGGGGGAUAGCUCGCCGAAAGGCGAAUUAAUACCGCAUGUGGCUUACGAUUUUUUCUAAAGCUAAAGCAGCAAUGCGCUUUUGGAUAGGCUCGCGGCCUAUCAGCUAGUUGGUGAGGUAAUGGCUCACCAAGGCUAUGACGGGUAGCUGGUCUGAGAGGACGACCAGCCACACUGGAACUGAGACACGGUCCAGACACCUACGGGUGGCAGCAGUCGAGAAUCUUUCACAAUGGGGGAAACCCUGAUGGAGCGACGCCGCGUGGAGGAAGAAGGCCUUCUGGUCGUAAACUCCUGUCAUGCGAGAACAAGAAAGUGAUAGUACCGCAAGAGGAAGGGACGGCUAACUCUGUGCCAGCAGCCGCGGUAAUACAGAGGUCCCAAGCGUUGUUCGGAUUCAUUGGGCGUAAAGGGUGCGUAGGCGGUAUUGCAAGUCAAAUGUGAAAUCUCGGAACUCAACUCCGAAACUGCAUUUGAUACUGCAGUACUUGAGGACUGUAGAGGAGAAUGGAAUUCACGGUGUAGCAGUGAAAUGCGUAGAUAUCGUGAGGAAGACCAGUGGCGAAGGCGAUUCUCUGGGCAGUUCCUGACGCUGAGGCACGAAGGCCAGGGGAGCAAACGGGAUUAGAUACCCCGGUAGUCCUGGCAGUAAACGGUGCACGUUUGGUGUGGGAGGAUUCGACCCCUUCCGUGCCGGAGCUAACGCGUUAAACGUGCCGCCUGAGAAGUACGGUCGCAAGAUUAAAACUCAAAGAAAUUGACGGGGGCCCGCACAAGCGGUGGAGUAUGUGGCUUAAUUCGAUGCAACGCGAAGAACCUUACCUGGCCUUGACAUGCUACGUGAAAAUCUGUGAAAGCAGGUGACUGCCCGCAAGGGUGAUGGGGUAGCACAGGUGCUGCAUGGCUGUCGUCAGCUCGUGUCGUGAGAUGUUGGGUUAAGUCCCGCAACGAGCGCAACCCUUGUGAACUGUUGCUACCGGCAUUAGCCGAGCACUCUGUUCAGACUGCCCUGUGAAACGGGGAGGAAGGUGAGGACGACGUCAAGUCAGUAUGGCCCUUACGGCCAGGGCUGCACACGUACUACAAUGUUCACUACAGAAUGAUCCGAAUCCGCAAGGUAGAGGAAAUCCCUAAAAGUGGACCCAGUUCGGAUUGUAGGCUGCAACUCGCCUACAUGAAGCCGGAAUCGCUAGUAAUGGCGCAUCAGCUACGGCGCCGUGAAUACGUUCCCGGCCAUUUACUCACCG